rnacentral:tRNA from 1 species
GGGGUUGUAGUUCAGUGGUAGAGUGCUUGUCCCCCACACAUGAGCCACUGGGUUGGAUCCUCAGCACCACA